rnacentral:rRNA from 1 species
GACAGAGGGUGCAAACGUUGUUCGGAAUUACUGGGCGUAAAGCGCGUGUAGGUGGUGGGGCAAGUCGGAUGUGAAAGCCCAGGGCUCAACCCUGGAAGUGCAUUCGAUACUGCUUCACUGGAGUCCCGGAGAGGAUGGUGGAACUCUCGGUGUAGAGGUGAAAUUCGUAGAUAUCGAGAAGAACACCGGCGGCGAAGGCGGCCAUCUGGACGGUGACUGACACUGAGACGCGAAAGCGUGGGAAGCAAACAGG